GUAUUGAUUGGUGCUUGCAUCAUGAUUUACAUUUGAGUGAGUGGCGAACUGGUGAGUAACACGUGGGAAACCUGCCCAGAAGCGGGGGAUAACACCUGGAAACAGAUGCUAAUACCGCAUAACAACUUGGACCGCAUGGUCCGAGUUUGAAAGAUGGCUUCGGCUAUCACUUUUGGAUGGUCCCGCGGCGUAUUAGCUAGAUGGUGGGGUAACGGCUCACCAUGGCAAUGAUACGUAGCCGACCUGAGAGGGUAAUCGGCCACAUUGGGACUGAGACACGGCCCAAACUCCUACGGGAGGCAGCAGUAGGGAAUCUUCCACAAUGGACGAAAGUCUGAUGGAGCAACGCCGCGUGAGUGAAGAAGGGUUUCGGCUCGUAAAACUCUGUUGUUAAAGAAGAACAUAUCUGAGAGUAACUGUUCAGGUAUUGACGGUAUUUAACCAGAAAGCCACGGCUAACUACGUGCCAGCAGCCGCGGUAAUACGUAGGUGGCAAGCGUUGUCCGGAUUUAUUGGGCGUAAAGCGAGCGCAGGCGGUUUUUUAAGUCUGAUGUGAAAGCCUUCGGCUCAACCGAAGAAGUGCAUCGGAAACUGGGAAACUUGAGUGCAGAAGAGGACAGUGGAACUCCAUGUGUAGCGGUGAAAUGCGUAGAUAUAUGGAAGAACACCAGUGGCGAAGGCGGCUGUCUGGUCUGUAACUGACGCUGAGGCUCGAAAGUAUGGGUAGCAAACAGGAUUAGAUACCCUGGUAG
rnacentral:rRNA from 2 species